rnacentral:misc_RNA from 1 species
UUUCCGUAGGUGAACCUGCGGAAGGAUCAUUACCGAGGAACUCUGGAUAAGAGACCUCUCACACUUGUCUAAGAACCUGUUGCUUCGGCGGGGCGCGGCAUCGCCGCCGGCUCUGCGGGCGAGGACCCGCCGAAGGUCACACGCUGUACGGUCAGUCUGAAGGAAGAAGAAAAAUGAACAAAACUUUCAACAACGGAUCUCUUGGUUCUGGCAUCGAUGAAGAACGCAGC